AUUGAACGCUGGCGGCAGGCCUAACACAUGCAAGUCGAGCGAGCGGCGGACGGGUGAGUAAUGUCUGGGAAACUGCCUGAUGGAGGGGGAUAACUACUGGAAACGGUAGCUAAUACCGCAUACCAUCAGAUGUGCCCAGAUGGGAUUAGCUAGUAGGUGGGGUAACGGCUCACCGAGGCGACGAUCCCUAGCUGGUCUGAGAGGAUGACCAGCCACACUGGAAGUGAGACAAGGUCCAGACUCCGACGGGAGGCAGCAGUGGGGAAUAUUGCACAAUGGGCGCAAGCCUGAUGCAGCCAUGCCGCGUGUGUGAAGAAGGCCGUCGGGUUGUAAAGCACUUUCAGCGGGGAGGCGUUACCCGCAGAAGAAGUACCGGCUAACUCCGUGCCAGCAGCCGCGGUAAUUC
rnacentral:rRNA from 1 species